rnacentral:rRNA from 1 species
UUGUCGAAUCCUGCAAAGCAGACGACCGCGAACUUGUGUAAUUGCCGGGCGUCGGGGAACGGGGGAGACUAAAGCCUCCCCUAACUCCCCGGCGCUCCCCGCGCACCGCGCGGACAACAACUCAACCCCGGCGCGGAAAGCGCCAAGGAAAACUCAAAAGGAUUGCCCACCUCCCCGUGCGCGGGGUGUGUUGUGGCGUCUGUCGUAACCAAAACGACUCUCGGCAACGGAUAUCUCGGCUCUCGCAUCGAUGAAGAACGUAGCGAAAUGCGAUACUUGGUGUGAAUUGCAGAAUCCCGUGAACCAUCGAGUCUUUGAACGCAAGUUGCGCCCGAAGCCAUUAGGCCGAGGGCACGCCUGCCUGGGCGUCACACAUCGCGUCGCCACCCCCCUUUUGCGGGGCGGCGGAUACUGGCCUCCCGUCCCAAGAAGGCGCGGCUGGCCUAAAUUCGAGUCCUCGACGGGGGACGUCACGACAAGUGGUGGUUGAAUGCCUCAACUCGAUUCCUGUCGUGUUCAUUGGCCUCGUCGUUUCUCGGGCUCCUUGACCCUUCUUGCUUGCAUCUCGAUGCGAGCCUCGACCGCGACCCCA